UACAGAGGUCUCAAGCGUUGUCCGGAAUCAUUGGGCGUAAAGAGCGUGUAGGCGCCCGGUAAGUCUGUUGUGAAAGUCCAGGGCUCAACCCUGGAAUGCCGAUGGAUACUGCCGGGCUAGAGUUCGGAAGAGGCGAGUGGAAUUCCUGGUGUAGCGGUGGAAUGCGCAGAUAUCAGGAGGAACACCUAUAGCGAAGGCAGCUCGCUGGGACGACACUGACGCUGAGACGCGAAAGCGUGGGGGAGCGAACAGG
rnacentral:rRNA from 1 species